rnacentral:lncRNA from 1 species
UUAAUUAAAAAGUGGUCAUUGCCUAUUCACCCCCCUCUAGUCAAUCAUAUCGAUCCUUUCAGUCUUCCUCGCGCCUGCGCCUCUUCCUUCUCGCCGUUCCCGAAGCUCCAUCGCCAGCCAUCUUGGUCCGGACGUCUCCAGGCGAACCGAAGGCUCAGUAUCCGCCGCAGAUCUUCUGCAUCCACCUCCUGGAAUCGUCAUCCUUUCUAAGGUAAGCACCUUUCCUUAAUUAGGGUUAGCCUUGCCCCCAUGUUCUUCUAGGUUAUCUUUAGUAAUGCGAUGAACAUUUCACUUUAUUUUAGAUCCGUCAACAUUUUUAUGGUAGAUCCUUUGUAGCAGUAGAUCAUGGUAGUUUUGCCACAUCCCUCGGCCACCUGAUGUUUCACUUCAUGGAUUCAUACGGCAUCCCUGUCGCAUUUUCCGCGUCCAUAGCUUUCGUGAUUUCGUCAGGCACUAUCUUUUCAAUUUUGUCCACCCAUAGAUCCGUAAUUUACUGCUCGCCUUUAGAAACAUGUUUAUCCUCCUCCUGGGAAUAUUCCUGAGGAAAAAAUCCUUUUAGAGUCGCCACUCACCUUCUCCCACCACGACGAGUUAGAACAUCACCAUAGCUACGCCUUUGAUUGUUGAAUAGCGAGUCAUAACGCCUUUGCAGACAUGCCGUAAAUCUCUCAAUUGGCAAGUUAGAAU